rnacentral:rRNA from 1 species
AACGAACGCUGGCGGCAGGCCUAACACAUGCAAGUCGAACGCUCCGCAAGGAGAGUGGCAGACGGGUGAGUAACGCGUGGGAACGUGCCCUUUGGUUCGGAAUAUUCCCGGGAAACUGGGAGCAAUAUCGGAUAAGCCCUUCGGGGGAAAGAUUUAUCGCCAAAGGAUCGGCCCGCGUCAGAUUAGCUAGUUGGUGAGGUAAUGGCUCACCAAGGCUACGAUCUGUAGCUGGUCUGAGAGGAUGAUCAGCCACACUGGGACUGAGACACGGCCCAGACUCUUACGGGAGGCAGCAGUGGGGAAUCUUGGACAAUGGGCGCAAGCCUGAUCCAGCCAUGCCGCGUGGAUGAUGAAGGCCCUAGGGUUGUAAAAUCCUUUCGACGGGGAAGAUAAUGACGGUACCCGUAGAAGAAGCUCCGGCUAACUUCGUGCCAGCCGCCGCAGUAA